AAUGAACGCUGGCGGCGUGCCUAACACAUGCAAGUCGUACGAGAAAUCCCGAGCUUGCUUGGGAGAGUAAAGUGGCGCACGGGUGAGUAACGCGUGGGUAACCCACCUUCGAAUCGGGGAUAACUCCGCGAAAGCGGUGCUAAUACCGGAUAAGACCACAUUCCGUUUGCGGAAAGAGGUAAAAGCUGACCUCUCCAUGGAAGUUAGCGUUCGAGGACGGGCCCGCGUCCUAUCAGCUUGUUGGUGGGGUAAUGGCCUACCAAGGCAGCGACGGGUAGCUGGUCUGAGAGGAUGAUCAGCCACACUGGAACUGGAACACGGUCCAGACUCCUACGGGAGGCAGCAGUGAGGAAUUUUGCGCAAUGGGGGAAACCCUGACGCAGCAACGCCGCGUGGGUGAAGAAGGCUUUCGGGUCGUAAAGCCCUGUCAGGUGGGAAGAAACUCUUCAGUACUAAUAAUACUGAAGCCUGACGGUACCACCAGAGGAAGCACCGGCCAACUCCGUG
rnacentral:rRNA from 1 species